rnacentral:rRNA from 1 species
AGUGAACGCUGGCGGUAGGCCUAACACAUGCAAGUCGAACGGCAGCACAGGAGAGCUUGCUCUCUGGGUGGCGAGUGGCGGACGGGUGAGGAAUACGUCGGAAUCUACUUUUUCGUGGGGGAUAACGUAGGGAAACUUACGCUAAUACCGCAUACGACCUACGGGUGAAAGCAGGGGACCUUCGGGCCUUGCGCGAUUGAAUGAGCCGAUGUCGGAUUAGCUAGUUGGCGGGGUAAAGGCCCACCAAGGCGACGAUCCGUAGCUGGUCUGAGAGGAUGAUCAGCCACACUGGAACUGAGACACGGUCCAGACUCCUACGGGAGGCAGCAGUGGGGAAUAUUGGACAAUGGGCGCAAGCCUGAUCCAGCCAUACCGCGUGGGUGAAGAAGGCCUUCGGGUUGUAAAGCCCUUUUGUUGGGAAAGAAAUCCAGCUGGCUAAUACCCGGUUGGGAUGACGGUACCCAAAGAAUAAGCACCGGCUAACUACGUGCCAGCCGCCGCAGUAA